rnacentral:rRNA from 1 species
AUUGAACGCUGGCGGCAGGCCUAACACAUGCAAGUCGAACGGUAACAGGAAGCAGCUUGCUGCUUCGCUGACGAGUGGCGGACGGGUGAGUAAUGUCUGGGAAGCUGCCUGAUGGAGUGGGAUAACUACUGGAAACGGUAGCUAAUACCGCAUAAUGUCGCAAGACCAAAGAGGGGGACCUUCGGGCCUCUUGCCAUCGGAUGUGCCCAGAUGGGAUUAGCUUGUUGGUGGGGUAACGGCUCACCAAGGCGACGAUCCCUAGCUGGUCUGAGAGGAUGACCAGCCACACUGGAACUGAGACACGGUCCAGACUCCUACGGGAGGCAGCAGUGGGGAAUAUUGCACAAUGGGCGCAAGCCUGAUGCAGCCAUGCCGCGUGUAUGAAGAAGGCCUUCGGGUUGUAAAGUACUUUCAGCGGGGAGGAAGGGAGUAAAGUUAAUACCUUGGCUAAUUGACGGUACCCGCAGAAGAAGCACCGGCUAACUCCGUG